UUUAUGGAGAGUUUGAUCCUGGCUCAGGAUGAACGCUGGCGGCGUGCCUAAUACAUGCAAGUCGAGCGAACGGACGAGAAGCUUGCUUCUCUGAUGUUAGCGGCGGACGGGUGAGUAACACGUGGAUAACCUACCUAUAAGACUGGGAUAACUUCGGGAAACCGGAGCUAAUACCGGAUAAUAUUUUGAACCGCAUGGUUCAAAAGUGAAAGGCGGUCUU
rnacentral:rRNA from 1 species